UGACCGCUGUGAUGACACCGCGGUGAGUAGACCUAAGUACGUCGACUUUAGCUACGUUUUUCACAUAGCUGAAGUUGCUUAACUUAGAUCAAUCCCCCUACCUAGUGUAGACCAGGCCUAA